rnacentral:rRNA from 1 species
UUCCUACGGGGGGCAGCAGUGGGGAAUAUUGGACAAUGGGCGAAAGCCUGAUCCAGCCAUGCCGCGUGAGUGAUGAAGGCCCUAGGGUUGUAAAGCUCUUUCACCGGUGAAGAUAAUGACGGUAACCGGAGAAGAAGCCCCGGCUAACUUCGUGCCAGCAGCCGCGGUAAUACGAAGGGGGCUAGCGUUGUUCGGAAUUACUGGGCGUAAAGCGCACGUAGGCGGAUUGUUAAGUGAGGGGUGAAAUCCCAGGGCUCAACCCUGGAACUGCCUUGCAUACUGGCAAUCUCGAGUCCGAGAGAGGUGAGUGGAAUUCCGAGUGUAGAGGUGAAAUUCGUAGAUAUUCGGAGGAACACCAGUGGCGAAGGCGGCUCACUGGCUCGGUACUGACGCUGAGGUGCGAAAGCGUGGGGAGCAAACAGGAUUAGAUACCCCUGUAGUCA